rnacentral:rRNA from 1 species
ACAGCAGCAGCCGCGGUAAUACGUAGGGUGCGAGCGUUAAUCGGAAUUAUUGGGCGUAAAGCGUGCGCAGGCGGUUGUGUAAGACAGGUGUGAAAUCCCCGGGCUUAACCUGGGAACUGCGCUUGUGACUGCACAGCUAGAGUAUGGCAGAGGGGGGUGGAAUUCCACGUGUAGCAGUGAAAUGCGUAGAGAUGUGGAGGAACACCGAUGGCGAAGGCAGCCCCCUGGGCCAAUACUGACGCUCAUGCACGAAAGCGUGGGGAGCAAACAGGAUUAGAUACCCCUGUAGUCCCUGUCUCUUAUAC